AGUGUAUAUAUAGUUGCCUAUUCUAUAGCCUGAAGUUACGCCUAAUUGAAGGCAUUGUACUCUGUAUAUAUUUGACAGUUUUCAAUGAUAAAGUUUGAGGAAUUAUUUCUAUUAUGGUAUCAGAUUUUUAGGACAUUCUCACGAUCCUUCUUCUCUUCCGCAAGCGCCCUAACAGUCCAUCUCUUCUGCUUUCUUUCUUCUUCUUUUCUUCUUCAUCUUCUCAAGACAAUUUCUGAUCAAUUGAAGAAUGUAGGUGCUCCGGUAUUGGAAAGUCGUCUUGUGAUUAGACCUGUUCAAUGGAUUAGGGGCCCAUUUAAAGCCCUGAUCCAGCCCUUUUAUAAAAGGGUUUUACCCAUCCAAUAUUUAAAUGGGGCCACUUUUAAAGGAUUAUUAAAUAAUGGACUUUUAAAGGGUUGGGUCUAAGUUAAAAACGGCUGAAAUUGGGUAAAUCUUAUGAGGCUUUUUUUAUCCUAAUUUUUUCAGUUUCUAAAACUUCCUAACAUCAAAUUAUGAUACUUUAAAAAUAAAAAUUCCCAAUUUCCCCCAAAUUAUGAAGCAAAAAAAAAAAAUUAUUCGAGCAGACUGAACUUCUACCAUUUGCCUCCGGGAAAAAUCGCCAGCAAAGUUUUGAAAAUCUUUCGAAUUCUCUCUCCUAAAUCAAUGUUUUCUUCAACUCCUUGAUUCUCUGGAUUAGUAGCAACAGGAAUUCCGUUCACUGACGCCGCCGCUGCAUUGACGGGAAGAAAUCGCCGAUGCCGGAGGAAAUUCCGGGAAGGAGGAGGAAGGCAAAGGGUUGGGCAUGGCGUAGAGAGGAGAGAGAACAUUCGAGGGUUUGGAAGAGGUUUGCUACGGCGGAGAGGAAGAGGCGGGGUGAGUUUGAAGGUGAAGGUAGAUAGCGCCAUUGAUGAUGAAGAGGUAUGAAUUUGUGUAGUUAUUACUUCCACCGUGUAAAAAUGCAAGUCUACCGUUGAUAUUACGCUUUGUUAAGAGGACACACACCAGAAAUAUCUUGGAUUUUUUUUUUUUUUUUUUGGGGUUAAUUUAUCCAUUCUUUUUUUGGUUUUAUAUUUCAAAAAAUUGUCAUGAAUAUUAUAACUUUUCAGCUAUCUUCUAGAAAUACAACAACUUUUAAAUUAUUUCGAAAUUAAACCACUUUUGACACUAAUCUUUUGGGGAAUAAUUUAGCAGCACAACUUAAUUAUAAUCUAUGCAGAGCAGCUUCGAGUUUCAUAAGUUUUAAGUGUCUAAUUUAUGUCAAGAACAUUGCUUAGUUACUUGAUUGUAACAAAUUUAUGUCAAGAACAUUGCUCAGUUCUCUACUUUUAACUUGUUGGCUAAGGCCCUUUGUAAGGCCCCUUAAAAGCCCUUUAUAAUUCUCUUAUAUUGUUUUUACUUCAUGGUUGUUGUAGUUUGUUUAUACAUUUUGAAUGGGCCAGGCCGGGCUGGGCUUAAUAGCCCAUGGACACGCUCGACCCAUUUUUUAUUAGGCUUGACCUAGUCUGGCCCGGCCAUUCAUAUAAAGCCCGGCCCAGCCCUGACCCGGCCCAUUGAAUAGGUCUAUUUGUGAUUCAACUUGUUUCCGGCCUUACUCGAGCCUAUAGGGGUGUGGGAACAUUGAUCCGGCAGAGUGAUCCUUUGCCACCAUUUUAUCAGGCUCGUUCAAUGCUCAUACUUGAGGAAGCUGGAUUGGCAAAGGAGGCUGCCACUGGUUCGGAGUCCGCUAUGGUAGCCACCUCGAAUUCAGAAUUUGAUGAUGAGUUUUCUCACUCUGCUCACUCGGAUCAAUCACAAGGCUGUGUGAAAAAUUCCGGCAACCGGAAGAAUAAUAACGACAAGAAAUCCAGUGGGGGUCGUCGGGCUCCGUGGCCAGAAGUAGGGCCGUGGUAAUGGCGGCCAAAAACAGCAGCAGGCAGGACAGCAGUACGGGCAACAGUGGGGAGAUUCAACUCCUUGAGGUAAUUUCCCACCUUGGGCUUGGAUGUCUCCUUGAGCUAUUCCACCUUGCCCUUAUCCAACCCAAGGAUGGGCUCGUGGUGCAGCAACCCCUAAACAGCAACAACAAGUUGGAAUUCUUGGGCCACGUCCUCAACAAGCAUUUUUGGCGAAUCCGAUCCAAAUCAGUCCGCUUCCUAGUGUCCUACAAAUAUCGAAGCGGCAAUGCAUACCAUGUCCCUCAAUCCACCCGAUCCCUCAUGGUAUAUGGACACCGGAGCUACGUCUCAUAUGACAUCAUCAAAUGGAUUUUUAGACGGGGAUGCCAAUAAUGAGGUGUGAUAGCCGGGGUGACCUUUAUCCUCUUACUACUUCUCUCAACAGUCAAGCUCUCCACUCUACCUUUGCAGCCAUCUCUCCUACACUUUAGCAUGAUCGUUUGGGUCAUCCGGAUGCUUCUAUCUUAGAUGCUCUUAGGCUUAAUAAAAGCAUUGAUUGUAAUCGUUCUUCUAGUUCUAGUAUUUGUCAAUCUUGUGUUUUCGGAAAACAUAUUAAGUUGCCGUUUGUUUCUUCUAGUUCUAGUACUUGUAUGCCAUUUGAUAUUAUUCAUAGUGACCUUUGGACAUCACCUAUUUUGAGUUGUAUGGGACAUCGAUAUUAUGUUUUGUUA